rnacentral:rRNA from 1 species
UGGGGGAAUAUUGGGCAAUGGACGCAAGUCUGACCCAGCAACGCCGCGUGAAGGAAGAAGGCUUUCGGGUUGUAAACUUCUUUUAAGGGGGAACAGUAGAAGAGGGUACCCCUUGAAUAAGCCACGGCUAACUACGUGCCAGCAGCCGCGGUAAUACGUAGGGGGCAAGCGUUAUCCGGAUUUACUGGGUGUAAAGGGAGCGCAGGCGGCGAAGCAAGCCAGAGGUGAAAACCCGGGGCUCAACCCCGAGGAUUGCCUUUGGAACUGUUUUGCUUGAGUGCUGGAGGGGCAGGCGGAAUUCCUGGUGUAGCGGUGAAAUGCGUAGAUAUCAGGAGGAACACCGGUGGCGAAGGCGGCCUGCUGGACAGUAACUGACGCUGAGGCUCGAAAGCGUGGGGAGCAAACAGGAUUAGAUACCCUGGUAGU